GAUGAACGCUGGCGGCGUGCCUAAUACAUGCAAGUCGAGCGAAUGGAUUAAGAGCUUGCUCUUAUGAAGUUAGCGGCGGACGGGUGAGUAACACGUGGGUAACCUGCCCAUAAGACUGGGAUAACUCCGGGAAACCGGGGCUAAUACCGGAUAACAUUUUGAACCGCAUGGUUCGAAAUUGAAAGGCGGCUUCGGCUGUCACUUAUGGAUGGACCAGCGUCGCAUUAGCUAGUUGGUGAGGUAACGGCUCACCAAGGCAACGAGGCGUAGCCGACCUGAGAGGGUUAUCGGCCACACUGGGACUGAGACACGGCCCAGACUCCUACGGGAGGCAGCAGUAGGGAACCUUCCGCAAUGGACGAAAGUCUGACGGAGCAACGCCGCGUGAGUGAUGAAGGCUUUCGGGUCGUAAAACUCUGUUGUUAGGGAAGAACAAGUGCUAGUUGAAUAAGCUGGCACCUUGACGGUACCUAACCAGAAAGCCACGGCUAACUACGUGCCAGCCGCCGCGGUAA
rnacentral:rRNA from 1 species